CAAAUGCUUUUCUCCGUUCUCUCCAUAAACCCACCGCCUCAUGUAACUUUCUUCUCACAAAGGAAGAGGGUGAAGCUAGUAGAUGUGUCGCUGUUGUCGGUCCAGAAAGAAAUCACGACGGGCGAUGAAGACGAUGAUCGAUCGGCUUCCGAUAUUGACUCUGAGUCGGGAUCGGAGUCGGGGUCGGGGGAAAUCAGUGUGUUCUUCAGAUGAUGUGACCGUCAUAGAAGACACCACCAUCGCCUUCUGCUUCUCAGGUAUCGAAUCAACCUCAAAUAGAUUUAAUUCUCAGACGUAUAGAGGUUAUAAGGUAUUGAUGCAUCAUCGGUGUCGUCCAGGAAGAUUCCGCCGGCUUCUUCGAUGUUAUGGGACCGUAACCUCCGUCAUUUCAUCGAAUAUGGUGUUUGUCUUAGCUCUGAAGGUUUAAUGGGAUUUUGAAAUCCCCAGUGUUGGUGGUAGAGCACAACACACCGCCUCCCUUCUUUCAAUCAGAUGGUGUUCUGCUGCUCGCUUCCUUUUCUUCCGCGUCCGGUUUUUUAAUCUCGGAUCAGGUGGAGUUUGAAAGAUUACACGCCAAGUGUUCGAUGAAAGUACUCAAAUACGUCAACUGUUGUUGUGGGUUGAAGAACAACCAUAGUGUUGACUACAACUAAAAACAUACAAAAAGGUAGUCAUAUGGUU